rnacentral:lncRNA from 1 species
GUAUACUGGUUAAUCUUAUUCAGAGUUACUUCACCGGCAGGGAUAAGGUAAGUGUUACUAUAACUGGCAUGACUGUUGGUGUGAAAUAGUUACAUCCUAACAUUACAGGGCUCUUGUAGGUCGAGAAAGCUUUGCUUUCUCAACCUAUGUUAUUCUUGUAUUAAAAGAGAGCAUGUAAGAGCCAGGUGUAGUUAGAAUAGACAAAUGACUUGCCAGAAAUUGCUGGGCAUUCAAGAUUCAGAACAAUCACAAGCCAUAUGAUCUCUCCCUGUAGUGGUUAAUCUUGUAAACCUGACAGGAUUCAGAACUACCACAGAAACAUGUCCCUGGGUGUGUUUAUGAGGGUGCUUCCUGGAAGGUUUAAUCAAACAGGAAGACGUACCCAAUAUGUGGUAACUCUGUCUCGUGGGGUGGGAUCCUGGACCAAAUGAGAAGGGAAAAAUGAGUUGCAUACUAAUGAUCAUUGCUCUCUGCUUCCUGACUGUGGGUGCCUCUGGAUGCUCUGAUGGAUUGUAUAUUGGCAAAAUAAAUACUUCCUAUAGUUGUUUCUUAUCAGAUAUUUUGGUAAUAAUGAGCAUAUCACCUGACACACACCCCUAAAAUGACAGCCAUUUCUGUGUGACCAAGCUUGCACCGUGGAAUUCCUGUGAAGGUACUGGGAGGUCGACACUCCCUCCCCCGUGAUGCAGGGUACGAUGACACUGUAGGUAGAUUAGGUAUGUAGAUUAGGACAUCUAUGACCCGGGGAAUGAGCAGCACAGGGUAGGACAUCAUGGAUUAGGAUUUGAAUCUGCAGUGCUCCCACAGGUUCAUGUUCUGAAUGGUUCCCUCUGGGAUGGCAUUGUUUGCCUAUGGAGGCAGAGCCUAGCUGGCAGAAGUAGGCCAUUGGAGGUAGAUCUGCCCUGGUUCCUUUCUGACUUUCUGCUUCCUAAUCUGCUGUGAUGAAGCCCCCUCCUGCUGUGAGUAACACUUCUAUAGCAUGUCUACCUUGCCUUCAUGAGCUGGAACCCUCUGAAACUGUGAGCCCAACCAAGCCAUUCCUCUCUUCUUUUCUUUUUGGCGGAUACUCUGUCACAGCAAUGCGAAAGUAUCCAAGUUUACACUUUCAGAAUGAAGAGAGUCUCAGAAGGAGCCACCUAUAUAGAGGAGAACUAGUAAUCAGGUACUAACCGAACCCACUAACCAGGGAGGAACCAGGGCUGGAAACCAUGAGAACCACAAAGAGGUGCAUGAUACGUAUUUUAUAGAACUGUGUUUAAUUGAACUAGAACCAUAUGAAGUUGUAGUCAGUGGUUAAGAAUAACUCAUAUUUAAUCUCAAUGUUUUCCUGCCUAAAGAACUGGUUAAAUAUACUGAGACAUGGGUAGCUUCAUGCAGAAACAGUUCCUGGCCCCAGAUUUUAAAAUUUUGUAUGUAUACGGGGGUAGAGUGGGGGAUGAGGGCAUGUAUGUGUUUCUUGUAGAGACUUCUGAUUUCCAGCUGCUUACAUUGUAUUUAAUAGGUAUAUGUUUAAGUCUUCCUCCAGCCUAUAGCUCUUAAAAGUACAUUCUCUGAGAAGUUUAUAAUCAUUUCAAGACCCAGUCCAGACCCCACCAGAAAAUAAUAAUUCCUGAUGAGGGAAUGGACCUGCUUCAAUGCUGCCCUGUGUCCAUUGGGAGGGUACAGAGGGGAAAGGGAAAGGAGGCAUGUUGAAGUUAAAUUACUAUGUCAGAAAGAAAACUGACUCUCCUUCCCACAUUAGCCCCCAACUGCCCAUAGCUCCUCAAUGAUGGGUAGAGGCUCACCAAUCGCUUCUCCAUGCUAGAAUGCUGACUGGCUUCAUCUGGUGAAAUUGCCCACAGCUGCUCUGAGUACAUGAGUGCAGCUGUCCUGUCAUCCAGAAGGCACUGUUUGCUCUGGGCCCCUCCGGCUUCUGGCUCUUAAAUCUUUCUUCUCUUUUGCAGUGGUGUCUGGGCCUUGGGAGGAGGUGAGAUAUAGAAACAUGCUGAGCAACCCAUUGGCAUUCAUUCUCCCUACUUUGAACAGUUGUGACUGACUGUAUUAAUCAUCAUCUACAGCAUCAACUUCUCUGAUGAGGUCUGGGCUGUAUGUGUACCAUACAUAUGUGUGUGUUUACCAUAUGUGUGUGGAUGUGCAUGUGUGUGUUGUUUACUAUAUAUGUGUGUGUGAUCUGUACAUGCAUGAGCACAUAUGCCUGCAGACCCAGACCCCAAAAGAGGGCAUCACAUCCUCUGGAGUUGGCUUUAUAUGUGGUUUUGAAGUUGUGAGCCUCAUUGAACUUGGCUCCUCUAGAAGAGCAAGACAGGCUGCUAAAUUGUUGAGCCAUCUCCCUGGCUUUGAAUUUUUAAGACACUACAUUCUACUGUGUAGAAACUCUCUAUAACAGACCAGAUGGCCACUCAUUUCUUAUAGUCUUCCUAUCUAUGCAGAUGUUCACACCACAACAAGCUUUUUAAACUAUAGGAGUUGCAUAACUGAGUGUAGGGAUCACAACACACACACAAACACACACACACAAAUUAGCAAAGGUUAAAGUGUUUUGAAUGUACAAGGACUGAAAGUUGAUUCAAAAUCAAAUGUAUUUUUGGAUCCAAGCCUUUUCUGGCAGUGCUUGCCCAUGUUGUAUAUCACAGGACACCUAUGACUACUUCUCCUCCUCUUCCUCCUCUAUCUCCUACUCCUCUUCCUUCUCCAUCUUCUCUGCCUCUUCCUUCUCCUUUUUGGCAGGGUCUCACUAUGGAGCCCAGGCUGGCCUAGAACUCACUGUGUAGACCAGGCUGGCCUUGAACUUUCACAGAACCACGUGCUUCUACCUGCUGGAAUUAAAUGUGAACCAUCCACAUUGUUAAUAACUAAGAUCACAGAUUAUUGAAAAGUUUUAAAAAGUAUUAAACUAAGUUAGAAAAAACAUGCUUCCUAUUGUACUUGUGUAAAUAUGAAAGUGUAUGCGCGUCACAUGGGUUUUUUAAUUCAAUUACACAAUAUAAAGUCAUGGCAAAAAGGCAUUUUCAUUACACCCUGUUGCUCCUCCCUUCCUUCUUCCCUCCUUCUCUUCCUUUCUCUUCCUUACUUCUUUACCUCGCUCCUCUUUUCCCUUCCCUCCUCUCCUUUCCUUCUUCUACCUGUCAUGGAUCAAGCUCAAGGCCUCAUGAAUGCUAGGCCAGGAUUCUAUUUAGGAACCACACCUUCAGUCACAACACUUCUUUGGAAAGUAGGUUUCAUCUCUGUCUUUGAUGGCACAUGGCCAUUUAUCUG